AGGAAUUUUCGUCAAUGGGGGCAACCCUGAACGAGCAACGCCGCGUGGAGGACGACGGCCUUCGGGUUGUAAACUCCUUUUGGGGGGGAAGACAACGACGGUACCCUCCGAAUCAGGCUCGGCUAACUCUGUUCCAGCAGCCGCGGUAAGACAGAGGAGCCAAGCGUUGUCCGGAUUGACUGGGCGUAAAGCGUCCGCAGGCGGCUGGGCACGUGGGGUGUGAAACCGCUCGGCUUAACCGAGCGCCGCCACCUCAUACGGCCCGGCUCGAGCGCGGGAGAGGUCUGUGGAAUUGCCGGUGUAGUGGUGAAAUGCGUAGAGAUCGGCAGGAACACCAAGGGCGAAAGCAGCAGACUGGCCCGUGGCUGACGCUCAGGGACGAAAGCGUGGGGAGCGAAC
rnacentral:rRNA from 1 species